rnacentral:ncRNA from 2 species
UUCAUAGACACGGGAGCUCGGAAAUAGCCGGGCUGAGAGGAUGGCCCUAUGCCAUCGACCGUAAAACCUGAUCUGGGUAAUGCCAGCGGAGGAAACGUCACAGGCUUUGUAU